GCCGCCGUAGCUCAGCCGGUAGAGCGGCGGACUUGUAAUCCGCUGGUCGCGGGUUCAAAUCCCGCCGGCGGCUCCA
rnacentral:tRNA from 1 species